rnacentral:rRNA from 1 species
CGGGGGUUGCGAGCGUUGUCCGGAAUUACUAGGCGUAAAGGGCAGGUAGGCGGAUCCAUAAGUUUAUCGUUUAAGGCGUCGGCUUAACCGGCGUAGGGCGGUAGAUACUGUGGAUCUGGAAUGCGGUUGGGGAAGACAGAAUUCCUGGUGUAGCGGUGGAAUGCGCAGAGAUCAGGAGGAAUACCGAAGGCGAAGGCAGUCUUCCAAGCCGUUAUUGACGCUCAACUGCGAAGGUGUGGGUAUCAAACAGGAUUAGAUACCCUGGUAGUCCCUGAG